UCCCUGGUGGUCCAGUGGCUAAGACUCUGCACUCCCAAUGCAGGGAGCCCAGGUUCAAUCCCUGGUCAGGGAA
rnacentral:tRNA from 1 species